rnacentral:lncRNA from 1 species
GUUUUAAGAAUCAAGUGUGAAGUAUUUGGGUAAGAAAUUGUCAUCAACCCAGAUGCUUCAGCUUGGUGAGAAUUAUUUGUCUGCUUCUGCCUCCUUGUAGCCCACCUUCCAGGCUACCACUACUCAGAGACCUCAGAUACCUGGACUCCUUUACUGAAGUGAAGGCUUCAUGCAUCAGGACCAAAAUUCUUUCCACACUCUAUUCCUAGACUUCUGCUUGGUCCCUGGGGACCAAGUCUAAAGACCACCUCUCCCGGAUGGACUCAGAGCCAGAAGGAGAAAAGCACAGGUGCAGAUUUGCCAGUUUGGGUUCCACCGCUGCUUGCUGAGUGGCCCUGGGCCCUGGGCCCUGAUCUUGCAGCCUUGGCUUCCUCAUCAGAAAAAUUGGAUUGAAAUUUUCCAUGAUUAUUGUGAAGAUAAAAUGAAAUAGUAAAGGGGCUGGGGAUGUAGCUCAAGCAGUAGCGCACUCGCCUGACAUGCGUGCGGCACGGGUUUGAUCCUCAGCACCACAUACAAAGAUGUUGUGUCCACCGAGAAUUAAAAAUAAAUAUUAAA